rnacentral:rRNA from 1 species
GACGAACGCUGGCGGCGUGCUUAACACAUGCAAGUCGAACGGAAAGGCCCUGCUUGCAGGGUACUCGAGUGGCGAACGGGUGAGUAACACGUGGGUGAUCUGCCCUGCACUUCGGGAUAAGCCUGGGAAACUGGGUCUAAUACCGGAUAGGAGCCAUUUUUAGUGUGAUGGUUGGAAAGUUUUUUCGGUGUAGGAUGAGCUCGCGGCCUAUCAGCUUGUUGGUGGGGUAAUGGCCUACCAAGGCGGCGACGGGUAGCCGGCCUGAGAGGGUGGACGGCCACAUUGGGACUGAGAUACGGCCCAGACUCCUACGGGAGGCAGCAGUGGGGAAUAUUGCACAAUGGGCGCAAGCCGGAUGCAGCGACGCCGCGGGGGGGAUGACGGCCUUCGGGUUGUAAACUCCUUUCGCUAGGGACGAAGCUUUUUGUGACGGUACCUAGAGAAGAAGCACCGGCUAACUACGUG